CACCCUGAUCUUGAACUUUCAGCCUCCAGUACUGUUAGAAAUCAAUGUUGAUGGUUUACUCUACCCAGUCUAUGGGAUUUUUGUUACAGCAGCCCAAACUGAUUCAGAUGAGGCAACAAGGACACAACAAGAAGGCAGACUUCUGCAAGUGAGGAAGAGAACCCUAACCUGUAUCCCACCAUGCUGACACUCUGAUCUCAGACUUUCAGCUUCCAGAAUGCUGGAAAAUAAAAUUAUGUUGUAUAAGUGA